UUGAUACAAAAGCAAUAUACAUGGAGUUGACAAAAUGCACCAAACAGGUUAUUAAUAAUAAGCACCAUAUUGUGUCACGGUAAGGGGAUUGCAACACUGUCCCUAAGCGAGGCGAGGGAGCGUCGUUUGGCUCAUGCUCCCACAAAGCUUUGCAAGAGACCCUACAAUGAAAUCUAAGACGUUUUUUUUACGUUUCGGCGCCAUUUUCGAUUGGACUGGAGCCACCGUUGACAAAUGAGAGGAGUGCUGAGCAGACAAGUUGAGGCCUGCAACGAAGGUAAGGCCUACUUCGUAUCGUAAUUGCCGUUUCAACCCACUCCUGCUUUUCCUCCACUGACCUGUAGGGGAGCCCUCGACCCCCGCACUCCUAUCCACCCUCGUCCUCUGAAACUUGACCGCGCGAGCAUGAUGCACCAAACCUUGCCAAAACAGUUGUGCCCAGCCAGAGUUUCCCAAAAUUUUGCAAAUGCGCACCGAAGCUGUUAAAGGAUGAAAAACGUUACUGGUAAACUUCAGUGUGCUGGUGAAAGUCAGAAGUGCGUGGAAAUAAAGAUUCAGUGGGGAAAUUGCAGCUGCAUCCGUGUAACUGAAAUUAUAAAUGUUUCACGUCCUGAAACAGUAAUGCAAAAGUUAUAUUUUUAAGCGUGUGAAAGGUUGUGUUUUAUUACAGGCGGAUGCUUAAUGAGGUGUGUGAAUUUGGCUUUUACUCCAAGAUGGAUGCGUAUCGGGGGGGUUUCAUGACAGUUACAGGCAGGCUGAGUGCCCACCCAACAGGACAUGCGUGGGGUUCAGAUAGGGAGGUGGGGUGACGGUGCAGCAACUAGCUUGUAAUUUGCGGUUUUGGAUGGAGGCUGGAAGCUUCCAGCAAACGUUCUUAGUGUUAAUGGCAUUUAGCCUUAACACUUUCGACAAUCUGUAAUUAUUGAUAUUUACUAGUGGAUCUAUUUCCAAGAUGAUGAUAUAAUGUCAUGUAAGACACGCUUGGAUUGAUGAUAUCAGAGGAUCACCCAGCUGAUGAGCAGUGACAAUCUGACGGCAUUUCCCUUAGGGGGGAACGGAAUUGAGCUAAACAGCGCUGGUAACCUGCCACACUGUGCGCAAGGGUGUAAAUGGGUCGUAUUUAUUUGAUCAAAUUUAUUCUUAUUAUUAAAUGGUAUUAAAAUUUCUUUAUUGAAUAGUAGCAAUAGGUUUUCAUUCCUCUUAUUUGGUCAAAUGCAGAUUUCUGCAGAUGUACUUUUUUUAAAACUCAAGAAGAGUUGAGCUGAAAUGAGACCCAACGUACACCGACCACUGUCACCGGGAUUUGGUACAUAACAAAGCUCCUGGACUGGGACUUAAGGUUGUUCAUCCCUCACACAUUAAGGAGACUCAAUUACUCAAGCUUUGUAAGGUGACACUGAUGCGUGACCCAUAUUUUGUGGCGUGGCAGUGUGAACACAUUACCUCUGUUGUUUUUUUUUUUCUUCUUGAAAUGGAGAACUUCUCGGCUUUGCCUGUAAGUGCUGGGCGUUUUACAAAAUAAGAAAAAGGGAAGUUUUUCACAGUCGACUGUAAAGCUGAGUGACAAAAAGAGAAGCCUAAGUGCGACUGAGACUGCACUUGUUUCCCGUAACUGUCCAGGCUCAAACUGCAGGUGACCCACAUCACGGAGGCCUGAGGGUCCCUACUGGCAAAAAAGUGGACCCUCUCUGGGACUGAAUUGGGAAACGCUGCUGUAGAAAGUUCCAGCAGCCCCUUACCAUUCUCUUCCCCCUCUUGAUCUCCUGGAUGACCGUUUUGACGUCAAAGUUCCCAAAUUCAGCACGCGAGGUGGUGGUAAGCUGGACGGUCCCGGAUGAAAACAACUGCGUAAAGAAAAGAUGUUUUUCUCCAAAGCAGCGUGCUGCAAAAAACAGCAGAGCCAGACAGCCUCGCUCAGGAGCCCAACGGUGAAAUUCACUCUGCCGACUCAGGGAUUUGAACCGGUGACCUUCCGAUCACACUGCUUGAGCCACACACCAAUAAUUUCUGGCUGAAAACGAAGUCUAGGCAGAAUCCAUCUACAUUUAACAUUUUUAACUGGGAGAAUCUUGGCCGCAAUGUUCCGCCCAUCUACACUGCAGGCUUUCACACGUUCGUAACUUGGAUAGACCCGAAUGCUGUUAAUCUCAGAGUUAACUGUAUUCCCCAGACCCUGGUGUUUUAUAUAGGGCAGGGGGUGGGGGUGGUAACCCUCUCCAAUAAUUAAAACCGGGUAAUACAACCCCCCCCCCCCCCCCCGAAUAAUCAUAAAUGGAUGUUGACCUCACCCCCCAAUGUUCAAAUCAAAGUUACACCUGAUUUAAAGAGUCCCCAAACAAGGAGAUGUUUGGUCUUUAUCCCUGUUCUAACUAAGAACUUUAGCUCCUGUUGGGGGGGGGGGUACUGAUGAUAUGCGCUCAACAGGGGUGCCGCAGCUAAUGCAGGUACCUUCACUGGAGUCCUGUGUGGCAUCACGGUGCUUACGACAGUAGACACUGCGGAGGAAAGACAACGUGAGGAAAGCGGGGAGGAGAUGAGGCGAUGUCUUAAAGGCAAAGUGUGCAGCCACCCGAAAAGGCUCUGCCGUGAUGUACCUGCUGAGUGGUAGGACACUGGGAUUACUGGGAGGCCAGUACAACUGUAUGAGGGAGGAAACGGCUCACCGGGAGCGCAACACUUACAGGUAGAUGCCCUGUGAUGGGUUUUCCUUCACCUGCGCCUUGUCCCACAGGGCGCAGUAGAAGUGGUACGUUCUCCUGCAAGUCUUCACAUCGCAGCCGAUGGUGGCACCAGGGCGGUGGCAGGAGGAACACAUCUGCGUGAGGACGAUAAUGGAGCAGCAGCUCCUGGAUUUGAGCCUGGCUGACGCGCCAUCCUGGGUUGUUCCCUGCCUUGCCCACGACCCUGAAUAGGAUAAGCAGUUUCGGAAGAUGGAUGGAUGGAUGGAUUUGAGCCUUUGACAUCCUGCAUUCUGAGGUCACGUCUGCCGAUACGCCCCAAUCUGGUUACAUUCAGACUGGCGCACUGAGCACAUAAGGCUUCACCACCGAGAGCAUCAAGACAGCAGGUGAAAAGAGGGGAUCCUCUAACUGUCACCUCCACCAAAAUGACCAUUUCGUUCUCUUUCGACAGAAGGUGUUUCAACCCCCCACACAGAAGAAGUUGAAGUUUUUAAAAAGUAGAUAAUGUCUUAGCGAAAGUUUUCUGUGCAGCAAAAUCUUACCGAUAAAAUAUUUCUAUAUUUGUUUGUGAGUUCAAUUAUUGAGUUAAAAUUUCAAGUGCCAGGCAGAGGCACUGACAGCCACCAGGCAGAGGCACUGACAGCCACCAGGCAGAGGCACUGACAGCCACCAGGCAGAGGCACUGACAGCCACCAGGCAGAGGCACUGACAGCCACCAGACGGCUUGAGUUCUGCGAUGUCUGUAUUCCUCCCGUCUAAGGCACUGGGAAGACCGAGACUGGGACUGAAAGGUGGCCAGCUGAGAAGGUGGAGGGGGGGGUACACCCACCAUGAGGACACAUGUGUCUUGUGUUUUAAACUCUGACACGCAUCUCAAUGAGUGAGACAGAUGUUGUUUCUGGUAGAAAUUAGAAAUAUAUAUAUAUA